AAAAAAGUUAUUUGUUAACUUGAAGGCUUCUGUAAAAAGAGUCUUUAAAAACAACUCUUGGCAAUGGAUCUCUUGGUUCUCGCAUCGAUGAAGAGCGUAGCAAAGUGCGAUAAUUAUUGCGACUUGCAUUCAUAGUGAAUCAUCGAGUUCUUGAACGCAUCUUGCGCCUAGUAGUCAAUCUACUAGGCACAGUUGUUUCAGUAUCUGCAUCCACCAAUCAACUUAACCUCUUUGUGUUGAGUUGGAACUGGGCUUCUAGUUGAUGGCAUUUAGUUGCUGUCAUGGCCUUAAAUCAAUGUCCUAGGUGUUAGAACAUCUAACACCGGAUGGAAACUUUAGAGCGCUUUAAGAGCAGCUUGGUUAGUGAGUUCAAUAAUUCCAAGCAUUAAGUCUUUUAAUGAACUAGCUUUUCUAUCCUAUGGGACACUACUUGGAGAAAUCCCAAGUAACCUUUAAACUCACAUUUAGAUCUGAAAUCAACU
rnacentral:rRNA from 1 species